GAUGAACGCUGGCGGUAUGCUUAACACAUGCAAGUCGAACGAAAUCUUCGGAUUUAGUGGCGGACGGGUGAGUAACGCGUGAGAAUCUGGCUUCAGGUCGGGGACGACCACUGGAAACGGUGGCUAAUACCGGAUGUGCCGCAAGGUAAAAGGCUUGCUGCCUGAAGAUGAGCUCGCGUCUGAUUAGCUAGUAGGUGGGGUAAGAGCCUACCUAGGCGACGAUCAGUAGCUGGUCUGAGAGGACGAUCAGCCACACUGGGACUGAGACACGGCCCAGACUCCUACGGGAGGCAGCAGUGGGGAAUUUUCCGCAAUGGGCGAAAGCCUGGCGGAGCAAUACCGCGUGAGGGAGGAAGGCUCUUGGGUCGUAAACCUCUUUUCUCAGGGAAGAAAACAAUGACGGUACCUGAGGAAUCAGCAUCGGCUAACUCCGUGCCAGCCGCCGCCGUAAAAC
rnacentral:rRNA from 1 species